GCUACUUGUGGUUCUGAGACCUCACUUGGAUCGCUAGCACCAACUUUGUUGAGGGACCUUACUCUGAAAACAUAUUCCGCUCCUGAGAUUCUGGGGGGCUCCGGGUGUAUCAAGAACCCUGACAAUGACAAAGGCUGAUUUGCUGCCAGAGCUGUUUUCUACAAUCUCUUGAUGAAUACUGGAGAUUCUUCGACCUCAUCACUUCUUGCCACUGGUUUUCACCUACCAUAAGCUCUACAAGAGAACCCAUGCUUUCAGCUGGAGGAAAAAAUAAGAAUACUGGGAGUGCAGCUGCAGAAUAUCUGAACUGGAGAAGACUUUGGAAAUGGAACAAGAGAGGACACAUGCACAGGUGGCUGUGCUGUUCUAUGCAGCUGAGAGACAGUGGCCUAUGAACUGGGUGCAUAUGGUGUCUGAUCCAAAAUAUGCUUUCUACAAAUAGAGGUGCUCUGUUCAUGGAAGGGGCAUUUGUCUGAUUUUGGGAAAUUCCUCUUCCUUUUACACCAAAGCUCAUUCCAUUCACCAAGGUCUGCUAAUCCUCUGUGUAGCAUUUUCAAGGCCCUGCAGGGGCCGCUAUGGAUGGAAGGGGACAGGAAGUCUCCUUCCACCAGUCCAGUUAUACACCCUGAAAUCUGGAUCCAGUGCAUGCAUUCAUUAAAACAUU